UAGCCGUAUAUUUAAGUUGUUGCAGUUAAAAAGCUCGUAGUUGGAUUUCGGUUAAGAGCGACCGGUCCGCCGUUUGGUGUGCACUGGUUGGUUUUAACUUCCUGUAGAGGACGUGCUCUGGGCUUAACGGUCUGGACUCGGAGUCUACGUGGUUACUUUGAAAAAAUUAGAGUGUUCAAAGCGGNCUUACGCUUGAAUAUUUCAGCAUGGAAUAACACUAUAGGACUCCUGUCCUAUUUCGUUGGUCUCGGGACGGGAGUAAUGAUUAAGAGGAACAGUUGGGGGCAUUCGUAUUUCAUUGUCAGAGGUGAAAUUCUUGGAUUUAUGAAAGACGAACUUCUGCGAAAGCAUUUGCCAAGGAUGUUUUCAUUAAUCAAGAACGAAAGUUGGGGGCUCGAAGAUGAUUAGAUACCAUCCUAGUCUCAACCAUAAACGAUGCCGACUAGGGAUUGGCGGAUGUUAAUUGAUGACUCCGCCAGCACCUUAUGAGAAAUCAAAGUUUUUGGGUUCCGGGGGGAGUAUGGUCGCAAGGCUGAAACUUAAAGGAAUUGACGGAAGGGCACCACCAGGCGUG
rnacentral:rRNA from 1 species